UAGGGAAUCUUCCGCAAUGGGCGAAAGCUUGACGGAGCAACGCCGCGUGAGUGAUGAAGGUCUUCGGAUCGUAAAACUCUGUUAUUAGGGAAGAACAAAUGUGUAAGUAACUAUGCACGUCUUGACGGCACCUAAUCAGAAAGCCACGGCUAACUACGUGCCAGCAGCCGCGGUAAUACGUAGGUGGCAAGCGUUAUCCGGAAUUAUUGGGCGUAAAGCGCGCGUAGGCGGUUUUUUAAGUCUGAUGUGAAAGCCCACGGCUCAACCGUGGAGGGUCAUUGGAAACUGGAAAACUUGAGUGCAGAAGAGGAAAGUGGAAUUCCAUGUGUAGCGGUGAAAUGCGCAGAGAUAUGGAGGAACACCAGUGGCGAAGGCGACUUUCUGGUCUGUAACUGACGCUGAUGUGCGAAAGCGUGGGGAUCAAACAGG
rnacentral:rRNA from 1 species